rnacentral:rRNA from 1 species
UCUGACCGAGCACGCCGCGUGAGUGAAGAAGGUUUUCGGAUCGUAAAACUCUGUUGUUAGAGAAGAACAAGGAUGAGAGUAGAACGUUCAUCCCUUGACGGUAUCUAACCAGAAAGCCACGGCUAACUACGUGCCAGCAGCCGCGGUAAUACGUAGGUGGCAAGCGUUGUCCGGAUUUAUUGGGCGUAAAGCGAGCGCAGGCGGUUUCUUAAGUCUGAUGUGAAAGCCCCCGGCUCAACCGGGGAGGGUCAUUGGAAACUGGGAGACUUGAGUGCAGAAGAGGAGAGUGGAAUUCCAUGUGUAGCGGUGAAAUGCGUAGAUAUAUGGAGGAACACCAGUGGCGAAGGCGGCUCUCUGGUCUGUAACUGACGCUGAGGCUCGAAAGCGUGGGGAGCGAACAGGAUUAGAUACCCUGGUAGUCCACGCCGUAAACGAUGAGUGCUAAGUGUUGGAGGGUUUCCGCCCUUCAGUGCUGCAGCAAACGCAUUAAGCACUCCGCCUGGGGAGUACGACCGCAAGGUUGAAACUCAAAGGAAUUGACGGGGGCCCGCACAAGCGGUGGAGCAUGUGGUUUAAUUCGAAGCAACGCGAAGAACCUUACCAGGUCUUGACAUCCUUUGACCACUCUAGAGAUAGAGCUUCCCCUUCGGGGGCAAAGUGACAGGUGGUGCAUGGUUGUCGUCAGCUCGUGUCGUGAGAUGUUGGGUUAAGUCCCGCAACGAGCGCAACCCUUAUUGUUAGUUGCCAUCAUUUAGUUGGGCACUCUAGCGAGACUGCCGGUGACAAACCGGAGGAAGGUGGGGAUGACGUCAAAUCAUCAUGCCCCUUAUGACCUGGGCUACACACGUGCUACAAUGGGAAGUACAACGAGUUGCGAAGUCGCGAGGCUAAGCUAAUCUCUUAAAGCUUCUCUCAGUUCGGAUUGUAGGCUGCAACUCGCC